CUCUGUUCUCGCCGACUCUUCUCUCCAUUCCCCUUUCUCGAUUUUUCUGAGCUAAGCUCCAAUCCUACCCAGGUUUUCGUUUGCCGGCGUCUAGUUCUUCGAUCUCACGGUCGCCCCUGGCUGGUCAGGUUGUAGGGAGACGCUUCUUCACUCUCCUUCAGGGUUGUAAUCCGAUUCCAAUGGUUGCUGAUCCAGAAGUAUUUGUGGUUCAACUAAGAUCAUAUCACUUGUUCUUUGUCGUUGCGAGUGAUGGUGUCUUUGAGUUCUUUUCGAGCCAAGCUGUUGUCAACAUGAAGCCCGGCAAUUGUGAUCCCAUCACAUACACAUCAUCAGACUUUGCAGAUGGUAAGUAUAUG